rnacentral:rRNA from 1 species
CAGGGCUAAUGUCUUGUAAUUGGAAUGAUGGUGACCCAAACCCUCACCAGAGUAGCAAUUGGAGGGCAAGUCUGGUGCCAGCAGCCGCGGUAAUUCCAGCUCCAAUAGCGUAUAUUAAACUUGUUGCAGUUAAAAAGCUCGUAGUUGAAUUUUAGCGUGUUCGAGUUUGCCAUUCGUUUGGCUUUUUCGAGUUCGCUUUUGGGUUUUCCCUUUUUACUUUGAGAAAAUUAGAGUGUUUCAAGCAGACUUUUGUCUUGAAUACUUCAGCAUGGAAUAAUAGAGUAGGACUUUGGUUCUAUUUUGUUGGUUAUUGAACCUUAGUAAUGGUUAAUAGGAACGGUUGGGGGCAUUCGUAUUUAAA